rnacentral:rRNA from 1 species
GAUGAACGCUGGCGGCGUGCCUAAUACAUGCCAGUCGAGCGAACAGAUAAGGAGCUUGCUCCUUUGAAGUUAGCGGCGGACGGGUGAGUAACACGUGGGUAACCUACCUAUAAGACUGGGAUAACUUCGGGAAACCGGAGCUAAUACCGGAUAACAUUUUGAACCGCAUGGUUCUAAAGUGAAAGAUGGUUUUGCUAUCACUUAUAGAUGGGCCCGCGCCGUAUUAGCUAGUUGGUAAGGUAACGGCUUACCAAGGCGACGAUACGUAGCCGACCUGAGAGGGUGAUCGGCCACACUGGAACUGAGACACGGUCCAGACUCCUACGGGAGGCAGCAGUAGGGAAUCUUCCGCAAUGGGCGAAAGCCUGACGGAGCAACGCCGCGUGAGGGAUGAAGGGUUUCGGCUCGUAAAACUCUGUUAUUAGGGAAGAACAAAUGUGUAAGUAACUGUGCACAUCUUGACGGUACCUAAUCAGAAAGCCACGGCUAACUACGUG